UUUAAACAUUUAUCUUCUUCACCUCUUUAUUCUAUCACAUUGUAAACCCUAGCCUCCACCUAAAAGAAACACACAUAACCUGCAUAUAUCGAGAUCGAGAGACAGAGAGAGCCGAAGGAGAGAGAAAUGGCUGGUUGAAGAGGACGUGAAAGAGAUGAAGGGCCGACCACCUUGCCGGCGGCUCCCCUGGCCAAUAACGGGGAUGAACCAUCUCCGGUGAUCCCUUCAACCAACCAACGGUACUGGUUGUUGUGGUGAACUUUAAUGGCGGCGAGAAGGUGGGUGGUGGUUCAUUUAGGGUGGCUGCGGCGGGUGGAGCCCCGCGAUAUUCCGGCAAGGCUGCAGAUAACCCGGUUCCACGACUUCAGCAAUACCGAUUGUGGUGGUUUUGAAGACAGAAACAAAAUUGAUAGCUUGGCGUCCAAUGGAGCCCAUGAACUCAACAGUUGUAACCUAAGUGCCAAUGGAAGCUACUGGCUAAAUAAAUAUCCACGAUACUCAUUUUUUUGUAACGCGUAUUACCAAAAUUUGACGAGCUUCGUAUAAACACUAAACGAUGAAUUUUACACGCGAUUUGUAGUUACAGCUAAAGGGAUUGGGCUAGUGGUGUGAAAAAUAUGUGAUGGACUGAAGUUGAGCUUUUAAAGGGAGUGGGCUAGUACAACUUCAAUGGACUUUUUUAUUAGAGAACCAAAAUCACUUAUUGAAGAAGAAAAACGACCUUUUCGAACAUGAUGAGUUUCUUAAAGAGUUCUAAUAAGAAGGUUAGACGUUAUAUCAUUUAGUACCUUUUCGACUACAACUGGUGACUACACAAAGAAAUAUGAAUUAGAAAGUAAGUUUUCAGCAUGUUGUUCAUCAUUCAUAAUUCAUAACUGAAGGCUUUGGUGGUGACUGGUUCAUGCUUGCUGUUUUCAGAAAAGAAAAAUGCGAAAUGAUUCGGUUUACACAUUAUCGGGCAAACGAUGGAAGGAGGAAGAAGAGAGCAAAGAUGGAAGGACCCCAUGGAUGCAAUCUGAAAGGAAAAAAAAAAGGAAAUAAGAAAGGUGGACUUGAGAAACAGCCGCAAUUUAUGGGUUUAAUUAGCUGUAGUUUUUUAUGGUCCGGAUUGAAUAUAUAUAAACAUAGAUAUAACUGCCGAUUUGCUAAAAAUUAGGAAGGUGGAGAACAUGGGCCAUUUAUUUAGGGUAAUUAAAAACUGAAUAAAAACCAGUGUAUCGACAACAUUACCCUUAUUUGUAGGAGCAGUUGUAUA